AUACCGGCGGCUCGAGUGGUGGCCGCUAUUACUGGGCUUAAAGGGUCCGUAGCUUGAUAUACAAGUCCCUUGAGAAAUCCGCCAGCUUAACUGGCGGGCGUUCAGGGGUAACUGUAUUUCUAGGGACCGGGAGAGGUGAGAGGUACUGCCGGGGUAGGAGUGAAAUCCUGUAAUCCCGGUGGGACCACCUAUGGCGAAGGCAUCUCACCAGAACGGGUCCGACAGUGAGGGACGAAAGCUGGGGGAGCAAACCGGAUUAGAUACCCGGGUAGUCCCAGCUGUAAACGAUGCGCGUUAGGUGUGUCAGUGACCACGUGUCACUGAGGUGCCGAAGGGAAACCGUGAAACGCGCCGCCUGGGGAGUACGCUCGCAAGGCUGAA
rnacentral:rRNA from 1 species